AUUGGAAGUAAAACACUACUCAGCAAAGGCAAAAUAAUUGAAAUCAUAAGAAGCAGUCUCUUAGACCAUAGUGCAAUCAAAUUAGAACUCAGGAUUAAGAAACCUACUCAAAACCACAUAACUACAUGGGAACUGAACAACCUGCUACUGGAUAAGUACUGGGUAAGUAAC